UACAGAGGUCCCAAGCGUUUGUUCGGAUUCACUGGGCGUAAAGGGUGCGUAGGCGGUCGGGUAAGUCUGACGUGAAAUCUCCAAGCUCAACUUGGGAAAUGGCGUCGGAUACUAUUCGGCUCGAGGAGUGGAGGGGAGACUGGAAUUCUCGGUGUAGCAGUAGAAAUGCGUAGAUAUCGAGAGGAACACCAGUGGCGAAGGCGAGUCUCGUGGACACUUCCUGACGCUGAGGCACGAAAGCCAGGGGAGCAAACGGG
rnacentral:rRNA from 1 species